GACGAACGCUGGCGGCGUGCUUAACACAUGCAAGUCGAACGAAGAGCGAUGGAAGCUUGCUUCUAUCAAUCUUAGUGGCGAACGGGUGAGUAACGCGUAAUCAACCUGCCCUUCAGAGGGGGAUAACAGUUGGAAACGACUGCUAAUACCGCAUACGAUCUAAUCUCGGCAUCGAGGAUAGAUGAAAGGUGGCCUCUACAUGUAAGCUAUCACUGAAGGAGGGGAUUGCGUCUGAUUAGCUAGUUGGAGGGGUAACGGCCCACCAAGGCGAUGAUCAGUAGCCGGUCUGAGAGGAUGAACGGCCACAUUGGGACUGAGACACGGCCCAGACUCCUACGGGAGGCAGCAGUGGGGAAUCUUCCGCAAUGGACGAAAGUCUGACGGAGCAACGCCGCGUGAGUGAUGACGGCCUUCGGGUUGUAAAGCUCUGUUAAUCGGGACGAAAGGCCUUCUUGCGAAUAGUGAGAAGGAUAGACG
rnacentral:rRNA from 1 species